rnacentral:rRNA from 1 species
GCCCAGACUCCUACGGGAGGCAGCAGUGGGGAAUAUUGCACAAUGGGGGAAACCCUGAUGCAGCAACGCCGCGUGAGUGAGGAAGUAUUUCGGUAUGUAAAGCUCUAUCAGCAGGGAAUAGAAAAGAAGGUACCUGAAAAAGAAGCCCCGGCUAACUACGUGCCAGCAGCCGCGGUAAUACGUAGGGAGCGAGCGUUAUCCGGAUUUAUUGGGUGUAAAGGGUGCGUAGACGGGAAGUUAAGUUAGUUGUGAAAUCCCAAGGCUCAACUUUGGAACUGCAACUAAAACUAAUUUUCUUGAGUACUGGAGAGGAAAGUGGAAUUCCCAGUGUAGCGGUGAAAUGCGUAGAUAUUAGGAGGAACACCAGUGGCGAAGGCGACUUUCUGGACAGAAACUGACGUUGAGGCACGAAAGUGUGGGGAGCAAACAGGAUUAGAUACCCUUGUAUUA